CAGAUCAUAAUUUAAUCUAAAACACACACACAAAAAAACAUCUUCUAUGAGCACCAAAAUGAAUAGAUCUGAAAUUCAGCCUCUAUUAUGAGAGACUCCCAAAUCAUAUGACAAUAACAAAUGUGUAUUUCUUGCUCAUCUUUCACAGGGAUCCUCCCAAGAGAGCAGUGCUGGCAAAGACUAGACUCUGACCUACCCAAUUCAUACUAGACAAAGAAUCAGGCCCAAGGUCGUAAAUUCAAGAGGUUACUUUUACUAUUGGAGCCAGCUCCUGAGCCCAGGUCUCAAGCACGUGAAGGUCUUCUGUGGAUUUGGAGGAGGGGACAGCUAUCUGACUGAUAAAAAAAAAAAAAAAAAAAUCACCUGCCAGACUUCUAAGCAGCACUUCUCCCCUUAGCCUUGGACCUCAGCCAAGUACUCAGCCAAUGAACUCUCUCAGCUCCCAGAAAAGUCUGUUUAUCAUCCUUCAAAUAGUUGAAAACAGCAAGGACAUUCACUACUGAGUUCUUUUUUUCAGACUGAACAUCCCUAGCAGCUUCCUUAGACUCCCCACCUAGACAACAAGGCCCUCCUGGACAUAUAUUCUCUGCCUUACUCCUCUUCCCAGAUCCUUCCCCAUGUUGGUCAUCAUGCUAUAGCUACAGUAAAAUGAAUCCUUUUCCCUCUUCAAUGGAGCAUCCAGCAAUGCAGACACUCUCUGGGCUGUCCACAACUAUAAGUGCAUGCGAAUAACGUUUACAUCUAACCCUGCAAACCAUUUCAUACAAAAUGUUAUGAAACUGAUGUUAUGAAGGUACAACUGUAUGAUCCUAUCAAAGCCAGAGGGCAGAGAAUUCAGGAAGACUCAGCUCCUCCGUCCUUGGUCCCAGAAUGUCCCAUCCAGCUAAAGAAUCCCUCUGCAGAUUCAAGUGCAAGACACCAUUUCCUCAUGCCAUGAGAAAUUUAUCACAAGGAACAAAUUCCAUGGGUGUUCACACAGAAGCUCACUUCCCUCUUCUGGCUCUUUGCCAACUGCUGGGAUAAUGAAGAGAAGCUGCCAGAAAUACCAGGAAGGUAUAGUGUCCUACCUCAGGCCAGGAGUCUCAAGGACUCUGUGUACUUUAAAAAAAAAAAAAAAAAGGGCAACAGCAUAAGUAAUAUUGCAAAGAACACUGGCCCAAGGCUACCAAGACUUGAUUUCAACCUUACACCUGCUUCAAACCAUAAAAUCUUUGGCAGUUGUGUCCCUGC